rnacentral:rRNA from 1 species
AGCAGCCGCGGUAAUUCCAGCUCCAAUAGCGUAUAUUAAAGUUGUUGCAGUUAAAAAGCUCGUAGUUGAAUUUCGGGAUCAAUAUAUCGGUCGUGCCUUGGUACGUACUGGUAUCAUUGGUUUCUCCUUUCUGACGAACCAUGAUGUCAUUAAUUUGGUGUUAUGGGAAGUUAGGACUGUUACUUUGAAAAAUUAGAGUGUUUAAAGCAGGCUUUAGCUUGAAUACAUUAGCAUGGAAUAAUGAAAUAGGACGUUCGAACCUAUUUGUUGGUUUCUAGGAUCAACGUAAUGAUUAAUAGGGAUAGUUGGGGCAUUAGUAUUCAAUUGUCAGAGGUGAAAUUCUUGGAUUUAUUGAAGACUAACUACUGCGAAAGCAUUUGCCAAGGAUGUUUCAUUAAUCAAGAACGAAAGUUAGGG